GGCUGGCCUCGUCCCUGUCUGUCCUUUCGCGUCGGCGGCGGUUGGCUCGCGGUUGGCCCGCAGCAGCGUGGUGUCUCGCACGAUGUUUCCCAGUGUCGAAGCCCCGCUUUGUGUGUGGUCCGAGGGGACGGCACGGACGUGCGAGGCCGGAGUGACCUGGGCUUGCGCGGGAGCGCCAGAUGCGGGCCUCGAACCUCGGUCUGCAGGCUUGUUCUCAGCGGACACCAUGCUUGGGAUGGACCUAGGUGACCCCUGUGGGGAAGAUCAGGAGUCCGUGUGGCAGUGCGUCGGUGUCUGAUCUUCGUCCUGUAACAGGUGGAAGGAAGAGAUCGCCCGCCUGAUGCCAGCAGCUGGGGCCAGACCGCGCUGAAGGCAGCGGCCCGCGCCGGAGUGGACACACCAGCAGGAGCUGGACUGGUACGCGGGCCCCCACCGCUGUUCCCAAGGCAGGAAAAACUCAUUUUUGGGUCAAGAUAAUUAAGGACAACGUUCAAGGUGCAGAGUGAUGUAUACAUCUGCCUGCGGGUGGACUUUAUCCAGAAAGCUCCAUGUCCCUGCCACGUGGUCCCUGACUGGAGCACAGUGCAACGACUGAUGGCGGCUGCUUGUGUUUCUAGAAUGUGCUUUGGAGCCGGCGCACGAGGCCCUGACCGGAGCCUGAGGAGCAAGGAAGCUGCGUUAUCAGACUUGGGAGAACCUUCAACCUCUGUAGCCUGCUUGGAAUAAAAUAAUCUUUAAAAAUUCUUAA